CGCGGGGUGGAGCAGUUGGCAGCUCGUCGGGCUCAUAACCCGAAGGACGCAGGUUCAAGUCCUGCCCCCGCAACCA
rnacentral:tRNA from 1 species